AAUCUUCCACAAUGGACGGAAGUCUGAUGGAGCAACGCCGCGUGAGCGAAGAAGGUCUUCGGAUCNUCAAGCUCUGUUGUAAGGGANGAAUAAGUACAGUAGUAACUGGCUGUACCUUGACGGUACCUUACGAGAAAGCCACGGCUAACUACGUGCCAGCAGCCGCGGUAAUACGUAGGUGGCAAGCGUUGUCCGGAAUUAUUGGGCGUAAAGGGCGCGUAGGAGGUCUCUUAAGUCUGAUGUGAAAGCCCCCGGCUUAACCGGGGAGGGUCAUUGGAAACUGGGAGACUUGAGUGCAGGAGAGGGAAGCGGAAUUCCAUGUGUAGCGGUGAAAUGCGUAGAGAUAUGGAGGAACACCAGUGGCGAAGGCGGCUUCCUGGCCUGUAACUGACGCUGAGGCGCGAAAGCGUGGGGAGCAAAC
rnacentral:rRNA from 1 species